GAUGAACGCUGGCGGCGUGCCUAAUACAUGCAAGUCGAGCGAACGGACGAGAAGCUUGCUUCUCUGAUGUUAGCGGCGGACGGGUGAGUAACACGUGGAUAACCUACCUAUAAGACUGGGAUAACUUCGGGAACCCGGAGCUAAUACCGGAUAAUAUUUUGAACCGCAUGGUUCAAAAGUGAAAGACGGUCUUGCUGUCACUUAUAGAUGGAUCCGCGCUGCAUUAGCUAGUUGGUAAGGUAACGGCUUACCAAGGCAACGAUGCAUAGCCGACCUGAGAGGGUGAUCGGCCACACUGGAACUGAGACACGGUCCAGACUCCUACGGGAGGCAGCAGUAGGGAAUCUUCCGCAAUGGGCGAAAGCCUGACGGAGCAACGCCGCGUGAGUGAUGAAGGUCUUCGGAUCGUAAAACUCUGUUAUUAGGGAAGAACAUAUGUGUAAGUAACUGUGCACAUCUUGACGGUACCUAAUCAGAAAGCCACGGCUAACUACGUGCCAGCAGCCGCGGUAAUACGUAGGUGGCAAGCGUUAUCCGGAAUUAUUGGGCGUAAAGCGCGCGUAGGCGGUUUUUUAAGUCUGAUGUGAAAGCCCACGGCUCAACCGUGGAGGGUCAUUGGAAACUGGAAAACUUGAGUGCAGAAGAGGAAAGUGGAAUUCCAUGUGUAGCGGUGAAAUGCGUAGAGAUAUGGAGGAACACCAGUGGCGAAGGCGACUUUCUGGUCUGUAACUGACGCUGAUGUGCGAAAGCGUGGGGAUCAAACAGGAUUAGAUACCCUGGUAGUCCACGCCGUAAACGAUGAGUGCUAAGUGUUAGGGGGUUUCCGCCCCUUAGUGCUGCAGCUAACGCAUUAAGCACUCCGCCUGGGGAGUACGACCGCAAGGUUGAAACUCAAAGGAAUUGACGGGGACCCGCACAAGCGGUGGAGCAUGUGGUUUAAUUCGAAGCAACGCGAAGAACCUUACCAAAUCUUGACAUCCUUUGACAACUCUAGAGAUAGAGCUUUCCCCUUCGGGGGACAAAGUGACAGGUGGUGCAUGGUUGUCGUCAGCUCGUGUCGUGAGAUGUUGGGUUAAGUCCCGCAACGAGCGCAACCCUUAAGCUUAGUUGCCAUCAUUAAGUUGGGCACUCUAAGUUGACUGCCGGUGACAAACCGGAGGAAGGUGGGGAUGACGUCAAAUCAUCAUGCCCCUUAUGAUUUGGGCUACACACGUGCUACAAUGGACAAUACAAAGGGCAGCGAAACCGCGAGGUCAAGCAAAUCCCAUAAAGUUGUUCUCAGUUCGGAUUGUAGUCUGCAACUCGACUACAUGAAGCUGGAAUCGCUAGUAAUCGUAGAUCAGCAUGCUACGGUGAAUACGUUCCCGGGUCU
rnacentral:rRNA from 1 species